UAGAUUAGUGUUUCAAUAAUAAAUUACUAAAUAUUCACUACGUUCGCGGGUUAGCCUAUGUAGGUUAUUUUGAUUUCAAUGAUAGUUUUAGGACAGAUUGAAUAAUAAAUUACCGGCGAAAAUAAAUAAAUUGAAAAUCAAUAUUUUCUUUCCUUUCCUCUUUACGCACUAUACAACGGUGCACGAUUUCCAAAUGUCGAUCACCAGAGGCUCGCGUUUUCGAACGGCGCGACGACCGCCGGGUGUUCGGACUGAUCGAAACCGGGAGAGACGAAGAAGACGGCGAUGUUUUUUUUUUUUUUUUUUUUACGCGCAGCGGGCCAUUUUGAAUAUUG